rfam:Rattus norvegicus chromosome 1, whole genome shotgun sequence.
GGGGAUUUAGCUCAGUUGUAGAGCGCUUGCCUAGCAAGUGCAAGGCCCUGGGUCAGUCCCCA